CAAACCCACUCGAGCGUUGGGAACGGUAGUGGCGGGAUUCCCCGUUCAUUUGUAAAUAGGGUUUCAGAGUUCACAAAAAAUAAUUUAAUCAGAUCUGUAAGACCUUUCGUCUUCAUUUCCACCCUCUUUAGUCGAUUGAGCAGUUGUACUCUAGGUAAAAAUUUCUACCCUUAGAAUUCUCAAAUGAAAAUCUGAAUUUCCGUGCAAUUUCAUUUUUAUACUCUUUGGGGACACUGAACCUUCUAUUUUAGAGUGAGUUAUUGUGCCCAAAUUCUAGGUAAGAGAUUUCUACUUCAGAAUUCUCAGGGAACAUAUCAUUGUUUCUGAAUCAUAUUUUUUCAAAUAGAAAUCUGGAUUUCCUAGUCUUGGCAGUUUCCCCCGUCUCCCUUUUUUUAUUUUUUGGGUCAUUCUGGAAUCCUUGUUCUAUUGGAUAAUCGAUAGAAACUUACUUUGCCGGACCGAAUCUCUGCUUACUUUGUGAUUGCAACAUUUGAUUUCCCUAAUAUUAAGAGGAAGAGAAAGAUGAAGAUUUAUGCUUUUGAUUUUGAAAAUUUUUAUGAGAAUAUCAUCUUCAACAUCCUCAAGAGACUAGAAACUGAUACUUUGUUCAAUUUAAGGGUGGUAUUCAAGCAAUGGUAUAACCUGAUAUUUGAUCCUUAUUUUGCUAAUUUCAACCUCUCUUGUGCGGUACCUGAUAAUAUGAUCCAAUCCCCAGUGUCUGGUAGAAUGGAUUUUAUGAGAUACUCACUCUUGGUUCUAAUGAAUGGAGACAUGUCAAUUUGCCUCAAGUUUCUGUGAAAUAUAAUGGAAUACCCAUAUCUAUUAACAAUUUUUUGCACUCUGAUGAAACUGGUCAUAAGAUUGCACUCCCGUAUUACACUGCAAGAUAUGGUUACAUAAUGGAUUUAGAAGGGGUUUUAUCUUUUGUGGGAGCUUAUAGAGAUCAUGCUGAAGUAUGGAUUCUGGAGGACUUUUAUAAGAAAGAUUUUUGGACUAGACGACACUGCAUCAAGCUUCAAUUGAAAGCUUCGGUGAUAGGCAUUACUACCCUUUUGGUAGCCUUGGAAAUGGUAAAGUACUAUUAUUUGUAGACAGUUUUCUGGACUUUGAUUCCUGUUAUGUAGUUGAUGUGGGCCUGCAGCAGGUAAAGCAGAUACCAAUACCAUUUGUCAAGACUAAAAGAUGUCAUUGUAUUCCACACUUAAGCAGCCUCAUUUCAUGCUGUUCAUUACAGAAGGCCAUUUUGUAAUUUCCUCCGCGAUGAUGCUUGCCAAGGUUGAAAGGUUUGGUCAUAAGAACUGCCUCCAGUUUUUCUCAGGAUCUUCUAAAAGCUCUAUGAAUACUUGAUCAACUACUCAAACCAGGAAAUGAGGUUGCAUCCCUUCUUGUGUCUGACCCUCUUUUGGUAGACACCUUGGACCCUAUCAUAGGGAUACUUCCCCCAGCCGAGGACAAGAAGCAAUUCCCAAUAGGACCCCUACUUAUGAACAGAUCCCCUCGCAGAAACUUCCAUUAGAAGCUCUUCUACUGGCCUCUUCUCCCACAACCAUUCGGACCGAGAUUUUUGCGACUCUCUUCAGCACCAUAGAAGCUUCCUAUGGCUUUGGAGUUAGUAGUGGACCCUUUGAUCACUCCCUAUCAGGCAACAGUGGGUCACAUGAAGCAAACCUCUUGUGGUGUGUGUACCAACUACCAAGUCUCUCACUUAGCUCUUUUGAAUUCUUCUACAAGGAGUUCACUACCGGCCAUUUCGUGUACAUGAAACCUUCAUAGAGGAGGAAACUCACACAGGUAUCUGUGGACAACAAUUAUACACCGAAGGCAUAUUAAAUUACUGAUUAAUGUGUCUCACUUGGAAGGAAACUUACCUUUCUAAUGAUGUAAACCUCAUGAAUGAGAUGGAGUGAAUCUCUAGAAGUUUUCUUCUUAAUUUUUUGGAACUGGAAUUUCCUGAAAGGUUGUCCUUCAUUGUCA